CAGCAGCCGCGGUAAUACGUAGGGUGCAAGCGUUAAUCGGAAUUACUGGGCGUAAAGCGUGCGCAGGCGGUUAUAUAAGUCAGAUGUGAAAUCCCCGGGCUCAACCUGGGAACUGCAUUUGAGACUGUAUGGCUAGAGUGUGUCAGAGGGGGGUAGAAUUCCACGUGUAGCAGUGAAAUGCGUAGAUAUUGGGAAGAACACCGGUGGCGAAGGCGGCAACCUGGUCCAUGACUGACGCUGAGGCGCGAAAGCGUGGGGAGCAAACAGGAUUAGAUACCCCUGUAGUCCCUGUCUCUUAUAC
rnacentral:rRNA from 1 species